UUACGGCCAUACCAAGUUAAAUCAGCGCUUCUCGUACGAUCACUGAAGUUAAGCAAUGUCGAGCUUGGUUAUUACCUAGAUGGAUGACCGCUUGAUAAUGCCAGGUGCUGGAAG